AACGAACGCUGGCGGCAGGCUUAACACAUGCAAGUCGAACGCACCUUUCGGGGUGAGUGGCCGACGGGUGAGUAACGCGUGGGAAUCUACCCUUCUCUACGGGAUAGCUCCGGGAAACUGGAAUUAAUACCGUAUACGUCCUGAGGGAGAAAGAUUUAUCGGGGAAGGAUGAGCCCGCGUUGGAUUAGCUAGUUGGUGGGGUAAAGGCCUACCAAGGCGACGAUCCAUAGCUGGUCUAAGAGGAUGAUCAGCCACAUUGGGACUGAGACACGGCCCAAACUCCUACGGGAGGCAGCAGUGGGGAAUAUUGGACAAUGGGCGCAAGCCUGAUCCAGCCAUGCCGCGUGAGCGAUGAAGGCCCUAGGGUUGUAAAGCUCUUUCAGUGGGGACGAUAAUGACGGUACCCACAGAAGAAGCCCCGGCUAACUUCGUG
rnacentral:rRNA from 1 species